GAUGAACGCUGGCGGCGUGCCUAAUACAUGCAGUCGAGCGAACGGACGAGAAGCUUGCUUCUCUGAUGUUAGCGGCGGACGGGUGAGUAACACGUGGAUAACCUACCUAUAAGACUGGGAUAACUUCGGGAAACCGGAGCUAAUACCGGAUAAUAUUUUGAACCGCAUGGUUCAAAAGUAAAAGACGGUCUUGCUGUCACUUAUAGAUGGAUCCGCGCUGCAUUAGCUAGUUGGUAAGGUAACGGCUUACCAAGGCAACGAUGCAUAGCCGACCUGAGAGGGUGAUCGGCCACACUGGAACUGAGACACGGUCCAGACUCCUACGGGAGGCAGCAGUAGGGAAUCUUCCGCAAUGGGCGAAAGCCUGACGGAGCAACGCCGCGUGAGUGAUGAAGGUCUUCGGAUCGUAAAACUCUGUUAUUAGGGAAGAACAUAUGUGUAAGUAACUGUGCACAUCUUGACGGUACCUAAUCAGAAAGCCACGGCUAACUACGUG
rnacentral:rRNA from 1 species